AUGGACUUUGCCAUUGUGCAGCUGUAAAAACAAACAGUCAUCCCAUGUCGGGACAAGAAAGAACCACAACGCAGCGCCAGUCUGAGAGGAACAGUAAACAGCGAAGUCCGAGCCAAACUGGUGGGAGCCCCAUAUUAAUUAUUAACCUGGUGCAGGGUGGGCAUUAGAAGAAAUAAAAGUUUUCAGUAGAGUGUGGAAAUAAGAAAGUUGUGUGUGAUCAAUGAUUGCUAAUGAAUAGAGUGCAGUUAAUUAUAUAGUUACAAGGGUUCGGGGAGGUUCAUUAUACUCACAGGAAAUGGAGCUGUCUCUCCAAACACAGGCAUAAACAUGAUUCAGGUGAGUGGGCCUGUGGAAGUGACCUGACUAAGUAAACCCCACAGCACUCUGCCCCCGUCUCUGCCAAACAGUUUUGAAGUCAUUCGUUUUCUUUAUUGGUUGAAGAGGAAUCGUGUCUGUUGACGGAAAAAAACAAAACGUGAGCCGCUCCGAGACGAUGUUUGAGCAAAGGUUGAAGUGGCGGAGAACUGGCAAGUUACCUGCAGCUCCUUGACAAUCAUGAAGCAGAGCAGACGGUCCAGUCCAUUGAGGCCAAAGGUUCCCAGAGUGUUCUGGAUUUCAGAGAACAGCCUGUUGUUGGUCACCUCCUGGUGGCUCUUCAGGUCGUACCAGGUGUUCAUCUGGUCAAUGUAGCAAGUUAUCCUGUGGAAAGGACACGUGUUUCUCUGAGACGUACUUGGGAUCGGUGAUUCGGAGGAUUUCUCUGCAGAGACGACCAAUGAAGGUGGCAGACUCAUCCACAGAGGGAAACUUGGGGAUGGGGAUGUGGGUGGACUGGUGCACACUCUGCCAGUCCUGGAUCUGAUAGGAGCAAGGAAAGUCAAUCAAUCACAGUCAAAUCAAUCAAUCCAUCCCUAUUCUUGAUUAGAAGACAGUGGAUUCUUUUAAUGCCUGACCUUGGUCCUGAGGAAGCUGUUGCACUCCUGCUCCACAUUGUAGUUGAUGAUGCGUGACACUUCCUCCUGCCAGAUUUUAAGGCCAUAAAUGCUGACAUAGUCUUGGAUGUACUCAAACGACCUGUAGAAACCGUCCAUGGUGGCCGCCAUGUCCUUCAACUUGGGCAUCAGCUCACUGGGCUGAGAGGGGGGAAUAUUGGUUAUUCGUUCAGUUCAUCCUUUAACACUUCACUGUUACUAUCCCUGAUCCUCACAGGGGCAGAAGACAUGCACAUCAGAUCUUAACCUUUUCAGUACAUUAUAUUGAGCCAUAUACUUCAAAUACACACAUAAACCUGUACUCAAGAUACAGUUUUUAUUUAUAACAUGUUUUUUUUAGGGACUGUAUAUAUAUAUAUAUAUAUAUAAUAUAAACAUGAAAACAAUCACUGGAUCUGAUGUCUGACCUUAGACUUGGGGUUGAAGAUCAAUCCUUUGUGCAGGGCAUAGGCCACCCUCUUCACCAGCUCUUUCCUAAUACCAUCCUCCAGAAGCUGCUUAGGAUCCACCUGAAGCAUUACAGUGUGUUGGAAAAAUAAAACCCAAUAUGAUAACUUAUUUUUGGAUCACACUCUGACUGAUGUGUGCACCAAAUGCCUGCCAGAAGGUUGGAACAAGCACAAAUACAUUGUAAUAUUAUGCCACCAAGUAAAGAGUAAAGGGGGCAAACACAUUAAAUAUAAAUAAAAUAUAAAUGACAAAUAUAUAAUUUACCUUAAUGAUCCCAACAAGAGUGGUCUUCAUCAUCAGGAUCCCCUCAGUGAAAAUGGAGAUGUCAUGGGUGAAUUUGGCCACCUGUCAUCACAUGAGGCAGAGGCAUGUUCAUGCACACAGAUGUGAAAUCAUUCAUAUGUCAAGUAUCAGGAACCGCUAAAGGACGAAUAUUCUACAUUGAAACAAUAUUAUCAAAUACAUUUUUCAUAAAAUUAGAGUGCAUAGUUGCAUAAAUAGGACUUUGCCAUUCUUUUAAGUUUUUUAAUUGAAAUUCUAGUCAAAAUGAAAACUACAGUGUAAGAUUCACAUUCAAUUAAAAUUAAUCCUUUACAAUAUCAGCCUGACCAAUUCUAUUUAAUGUAAUUUAAAUACGAUUCUGAAACAUAAUCUGUUUCUAUAUCAAUCUGUCUUCUCCAAUUUGUUUUUCACAUCAAAAGCUCUGCGAGAUUGAAAAAUGUUCAGAAACUAGUGAUUGCCUCUGACUCACACACAGCGGAUGAGUCGACAUCAAAACAGUACAAACUUCAGGCCUCUCAUACAACAACUUCUAAAUAUGAAUAAGAUCUAAGGCAAUUCUUUCCUCAGUUCAGUUACAUCCUGAACUUUAAAGAACAGUCCUGUGACUAUUUCAAUCACAACAGUAGUUCGACCUCGUAGCGAGCCCCGAGCUGGGAGUAGUCCUUCAGCUUGUCCUUGUCCAGCCGGGUGGGCACUUCCAUGAUGUCGUGGAUCUGAAGCUUGAUGAUCUUGGCCAGAGAAGUGAACAUAC